rnacentral:rRNA from 1 species
CCCUUAGAUGCUCUGGGCCGCACGCGCGCUACACUGGUCGAUGCAACGAGUUUCUUUCCUUGGCCGACAGGCCUGGGCAAUCUUUGAACAUCGAUCGUGAUCGGGAUAGAUUCUUGUAAUUUUUGAUCUUAAACGAGGAAUUCCUAGUAAACGCAAGUCAUCAGCUUGCAUUGAUUACGUCCCUGCCCUUUGUACACACCGUCCGUCGCACCUACCGAUUGAAUGGUCCGGUGAAAUCUCCGGACUGGCGUGAGUCGGAGCAAUCUGACAAACACCGGAAAGUUGAUUAAACCUUACCAUUUAGAGGAAGGUGAAGUCGUAACA